rnacentral:rRNA from 1 species
CACAGAGUUAGCCGGUGCUUAUUCUGUCGGUAACGUCAAAAUCGUCACGUAUUAGGUAACGACCCUUCCUCCCAACUUAAAGUGCUUUACAAUCCGAAGACCUUCUUCACACACGCGGCAUGGCUGGAUCAGGCUUUCGCCCAUUGUCCAAUAUUCCCCACUGCUGCCUCCCGUAGGAGUCUGGACCGUGUCUCAGUUCCAGUGUGACUGAUCAUCCUCUCAGACCAGUUACGGAUCGUCGCCUUGGUGAGCCUUUACCCCACCAACUAGCUAAUCCGACCUAGGCUCAUCUGAUAGCGUGAGGUCCGAAGAGCCCCCACUUUCUCCCGUAGGACGUAUGCGGUAUUAGCGUCCGUUUCCGGACGUUAUCCCCCACUAUCAGGCAGAUUCCUAGGCAUUACUCACCCGUCCGCCGCUCUCAAGAGAAGCAAGCUUCUCUCUACCGCUCGACUUGCAUGUGUUAGGCCUGCCGCCAGCGUUCAAUCUGAGCCAGGAUCAAA